rnacentral:rRNA from 1 species
AUGACGCCUCUUCUACUGCUACUACGGCAAGAAUCCCCCACGGCCGCCGCCGCGGCUGCCGCCGGCCGACGACGACGAGGCGAUGACCGCCUCCAGGAUGGUCUCCUCGCACUUGCGGCACCGCUUGGGCGGCGCGGGGUCGUCGAGGACGAUGGGGCGGCGGCAGGACGGGCAGGAGGAGUUGGAGCGCAGCCAGGUGUCGACGCAGUCGACGUGGAACCCGUGGCCGCACUGCGGCAUCACGCGCACCUCCUCCCGCUCGCCGAACUCCGUCAGGCAGAUGGCGCACUCGGCGAGGAUCCCGUCCUGCCCCUCCUCCUCCUCGCCCCCCGCCACGGCGCCCCUCGCCGCCGCAGCCGCGGCCACCGCGUCCGCGUACGCCAGCUUCGGCAGCGCCUUGAGCGCCUUCUUCUUGAGCCCCUUGCUGGUGGUCGUCACGCUGCCCCCCGACGCGCCUGUCGUCGUAGUAGUUGUAGUACCAUGGUUAUGCCCACCGCCGCCCCCGCCGAAGGCCGCCAGGGCGUGGGCCGGGCUGCCGGACGGCGAGGAUUGGUUGGCGUGGGCGUUGGCGUUGCGGCGGGAGCGCGCGCACCGCGCGACGGCGGCGAGGCCGACUACGCAGAUGAGCGCGCAGAGCAGGGCGGCGAGGAUGACGACGACAUCCGAGCUGACGCCGGCGGGCGGAUCGGCCGGGGGGAUGCCCGGGAUGCGGCUGGGGUCGCCGCUCUGGAGGAGACGCCUCGACGAAUACGGCGAUGGCCGGAGCAUCGCCCACGUUCGUCCAGCGCCGGUAGUUGGAGGGGCCUUUUCCGCAAAAUUAAAGUUGUGGCGAGACGCGAGAGAAGCGAAAGGGGGUGGUGGUAUUGGCAGGUUGCGAUUGUUAAUGGCGGGCGGGUAAGCGUCGUAGCGAAGCUCCCGUGGCGAUUUCCCGCGGGUUGGGCGCGGGGCGGGGCCGGUAUCGUCGACCAGCUGGAAAAUCCCAAAAGGCACACGUGGACGCGCCAAGAUAAUUAG